AUUGAACGCUUGCGGCAUGCUUUACACAUGCAAGUCGGACGAGCGGCGGACGGGUGAGUACUAUAUCGGGAUCUACCUAGUAAUGGGGGAUAACUAAUCGAAAGAGUAGCUAAUACCGCAUACUAUUCGAGCAUCCCAUAUCGGAUUAGCUAGUGGGUGGGGUAACGGCCUACCAAGGCGACGAUCACUAGCGGGUCUGAGAGGAUGAUCCGCCAGACUGGGACUGAGACACGGCCCAGACUCCUACGGGAGGCAGCAGUGGGGAAUUUUGGACAAUGGGCGCAAGCCUGAUGCAGCCAUGCCGCGUGUAUGAAGAAGGCCUUCGGGUUGUAAAGGACUUUCGUAAGAGAAGCGUUACCUAAAGAGUAAGCACCGGCUAACUACGUGCCAGCAGCCGCGGUGAUAC
rnacentral:rRNA from 1 species